GCCAGUGUGGCAUACUGAUUUGAGUGCUGGACUAUGACUCUGGGGACCAGGGUUCGAAUCCUGGCUCGGUCA